GGGCUUGUAGCUCAGUUGGAUAGAGUAUCUGGCUACGAACCAGAGGGUCGGGAGUUCGAAUCUCUCCAAGCCCA
rnacentral:tRNA from 1 species